CUCGCCGCCGGAUCGCGGCGCCGGGGCGACCGCGCAGUCGCUUCCGUCGACACCGAUCCGGGACGAGACGAAAUGUGGCCGCCUCGCGGCUGAAUCGCAAC
rnacentral:ncRNA from 1 species